GAGAUCAAUAAAAUUUAAAUAGAAAUAACGAAAAAUAGAACAAAUAGAAGAAUAAUUUGAAAGCAUUCAAUGAUAAAAAAAAAAGUUUGAUGAUUCUCAAAUUAUACAAAAUACUUACUAUUUAUAGAUAAGAUGAUAAAGGAAAUUUUAAUUGAAAAAAUUCUGUUACGCCAUAAUAGCAAAUAAGUUGCAAAUAAAAACCAAUAAAUGUGAUUGAAAUUGUGUGCAAGAUAACACUAUUUUUUUUAAUACUUUAUGUUAUAAUUUUCCAAAGUUUAAAGUUACAUCUGAAUUGAGCAAACCAUCCAAAAAAUUGUUGCUCAGA
rnacentral:misc_RNA from 1 species